AGGGCUGUAACUCAGUGGUAGAGCACCUGCUUUGCUUGCAGAAGGCCCCUGGUUCAACCCCCAGCGGUAUCUCUA